UACGUAGGUGGCAAGCGUUGUCCGGAUUUACUGGGCGUAAAGGAUGCGUAGGUGGAUAUGCAAGUCAGAUGUGAAAUACCCGGGCUUAACUCGGGUGCUGCAUUUGAAACUAUAUAUCUAGAGUGCAGGAGAGGUAAGUGGAAUUCCUAGUGUAGCGGUGAAAUGCGUAGAGAUUAGGAAGAACACCAGUGUCGAAGGCGACUUACUAAGGUGUCAAUGACGCUGAGGCAUGAAAGCGUGGGGAGCAAACAGG
rnacentral:rRNA from 1 species